rnacentral:rRNA from 1 species
GACGAACGCUGGCGGCGUGCCUAACACAUGCAAGUCGAACGGAAAGGCCCUGCUUUUGUGGGGCGCUCGUGUGCCGAACGGGUGAGUAACACGUGAGUAACCUCCCCCUGACCUUGGGAUAUCUUCAGGAAACUGGGGCUAUUAUCGGAUAGGAGCUCCUGCUGCAUGGUGGGGGUUGGAAAGAUUCGGUGGUUGGGGAUGUACUCGCGGCCUAUCAGCUUGUUGGUUGGGUAGUGGCUUACCAAGGUUUUGACGGGUAGCCGGCCUGAGAGGGUGACCGGCCACACUAAGCCUGAGAUACGCCCCAGACUCGUACGGUAGGCAGCAGUGGGGAAUCUUACACAGUAGGCGGAGGCCAGCUGCGGCAACGCCGCGUACGGGAUGACCGCCUACGAGUUGUAAACCACUUUCGCCUGUAACGAAACGUGAGUGACGGUACUGGGUCAAGAAGCACCGGCUAACUACGUG